rnacentral:rRNA from 1 species
CAGACCUCUAAUCGGAAAAGACUACCCGCUGAGUUUAAGCAUAUCAAUAGCCGGGAGGAAA